CCUACGGGAGGCUGUAGUGGGGAAUAUUGGACAAUGGGCGAAAGCCUGAUCCAGCCAUGCCGCGUGUGUGAAGAAGGCCUUCGGGUUGUAAAGCACUUUCAGUGGGGAAGAAAGCCUUGGGGCUAAUACCCUCGAGGAAGGACAUCACCCACAGAAGAAGCACCGGCUAACUCCGUGCCAGCAGCCGCGGUAAUACGGAGGGUGCGAGCGUUAAUCGGAAUUACUGGGCGUAAAGCGCGCGUAGGCGGUCUGAUAAGCCGGUUGUGAAAGCCCCGGGCUCAACCUGGGAACGGCAUCCGGAACUGUCAGGCUAGAGUGCAGGAGAGGAAGGUAGAAUUCCCGGUGUAGCGGUGAAAUGCGUAGAGAUCGGGAGGAAUACCAGUGGCGAAGGCGGCCUUCUGGACUGACACUGACGCUGAGGUGCGAAAGCGUGGGUAGCAAACAGGAUUAGAUACCCUAGUAGUC
rnacentral:rRNA from 1 species